CUUACAUGCUGAAACAAGCAUGGAUUCCCUGUGUUAGGCACACAUAACCUCAGAAAAAGCAGACACCUGCUGCUGAGAAGGCAGCCCUGGAAAGGACUCUGCUGACUAAAGGACCUGAACUUCAAGGUUAUCUCACUGGGCCUGCAAGAAGAGCUGCUGGAGGACUGCACAGCGUUGGAUGUGCCUGUCAUAUGUGAGCAUGAGGCUGAUAAAGGACCAGAUGCGUCACCAAGCCCUGUCUCCAGAGCUCUUCUUUGGGAUCACUGAGGGAAGAUCAGGCAGAGGUCACCACAGAGCCUGCACCUCUCCCUGGAGAGUUGCCAGGCAGAGUCAGCAGCGUUCCCAAGCCCAGUGGAGAAGUUGGCUGAAGCUGCUGAGACACAGCCCAUGAAAGGUGUCUGCUGGAGCUGUGUGACCAGGACAGAGGUUAUGAAUAACGAAUGGGAAAUUUGCUAAAGGAAUCAGUUCUUUGAUUACUAAUGAAUCUGAAAAGGCUGAGAAAUCAAAUGAAACCAGGCACUGAACAACACAUUGCUUUUUGGGUUU